rnacentral:lncRNA from 1 species
AGAGGAUAAGAAAGUAAAAAUGAAAGACAAAGUUAAUGAAAUUAUAUAAGAAGAAUCAAGUCAAAUUUAUUAAUCACUUGAAAACACACUUUAAGGAUGAAAUCAUUGCAAGAUAAUACUUAAACAGGGGGAGUUUAUUUGAAAAGAAUUGAUUUUGAUCCUUGAUAUGCUUGUUCUUAUUAUUUUAAUGCAUGACUUAACACAUAAUAUAUCUUGCAUGUGGCAUGAUGUCUUGAAUUAUGGGUUCUCAAUAUUUUGUAAUGCUUCAUACUUGGACAAUUUGAUUGAAUGUUUGAAAUGCUACAUAACAUCUUUUGUUUGGUAUUAUUGAAAAGAAAUUUUCAGAUUUGUCGUUAACAAUAAUCGUUAAAACCUGAAAGUUGAAUAAAUUUGUAAAAAGGAGAAGAGAAUGAUAUCUCUAUUUAGGCAAAAUGAAUUGAGUUGUUUUUAUC